GGAGGAGUUCCCGAGUGGCCAAAGGGAACAGACUGUAAAUCUGUCGUCGCAGACUUCGGUGGUUCGAAUCCACCCUCCUCCACCA
rnacentral:tRNA from 1 species